rnacentral:rRNA from 1 species
UACGUAGGGUGCGAGCGUUGUCCGGAAUUAUUGGGCGUAAAGGGCUCGUAGGCGGUUUGUCGCGUCGGGAGUGAAAACCCCGGGCUUAACUCGGUGCUUGCUUUCGAUACGGGCAGACUAGAGGCAUGCAGGGGAGAACGGAAUUCCUGGUGUAGCGGUGAAAUGCGCAGAUAUCAGGAGGAACACCGGUGGCGAAGGCGGGUCUCUGGGCCGAUACUGACGCUGAGGAGCGAAAGCGUGGGGAGCGAACAGG